rnacentral:rRNA from 1 species
CCUACGGGUGGCAGCAGUGGGGAAUAUUGCACAAUGGGGGAAACCCUGAUGCAGCGACGCCGCGUGAGUGAAGAAGUAAUUCGUUAUGUAAAGCUCUAUCAGCAGGGAAGAAAAUGACGGUACCUGAGCAAGAAGCCCCGGCUAACUACGAUCCAGAAGCCGCGGGAAUACGUAGGGUGCAAGCGUUAUCCGGAUUUACUGGGUGUAAAGGGAGCGUAGACGGCAGUGCAAGUCUGGAGUGAAAGGCGGGGGCUCAACCCCAGGAUUGCGUGUGAAACUGUACGGUUGGAGUGCAGGAGAGGUAAGUGGAAUUCGUGGUGUAGCGGUGAAAUGCGUAGAUAUUAGGAGGAACACCAGUGGCGAAGGCGGCUUGCUGGACUGUAACUGACGUUGAGGCUCGAAAGCGUGGGGAGCAAACAGGAUUAGAUACCCCAGUAGUC